rnacentral:rRNA from 1 species
AUGGCAAGAAAUGAUUUCGGAUUUGGUUCUUUGAUCAUAGAUAUCAAGCUUGAUGGUUCAAACUACAGGGAAUGGGCAUUUUCUGCCCGGACUGUCUUGAGGACGGCUGGUUUUUUUUCUCAUCUGACAGAUGAUCCACCUAGUCCAAAUGAUGAUGCAUCAAGGAAGUCUUGGCAAAAGAUCGAUCAUUGUGUGAUGGGAGUUUUAAUUCUGGGUGUUGAACCCUCACUCCGAAUGAGUCUUGAGCAUCACACUUCAGCUAAAGAGAUAUGGAAGUACUUUGAGCAGCGCUACCUUCAGCCCAGCAGUGCACUUCAUUUCUCCUUGUUGAAGAAUUUACACAACACUCGGUAG